UGUCCAAAGUAGAUUACUACAUCUUAGAUGCCACAAAUCUAAAUUUUAUUAAACUAUUUGAAC
rnacentral:tRNA from 1 species